UACAGAGGGUGCUAGCGUUACUCGGAAUUACUGGGCGUAAAGCGUGCGUAGGUGGUUUGUUAAGUCUGAUGUGAAAGCCCUGGGCUCAACCUGGGAAUUGCAUUGGAUACUGGCAGGCUAGAGUGCGGUAGAGGAUGGCGGAAUUCCCGGUGUAGCAGUGAAAUGCGUAGAGAUCGGGAGGAACAUCUGUGGCGAAGGCGGCCAUCUGGACCAGCACUGACACUGAGGCACGAAAGCGUGGGGAGCAAACAGG
rnacentral:rRNA from 1 species